ACGUAAUAGAUACCCUGGUAGUCCACGCCCUAAACGAUGUCUACUAGUUGUUGGUGGAGUAAAAUCCAUGAGUAAACGCAGCUAAACGCGUGAAGUAGACCGCCUGGGGAGUACGGUCGCAAGAUUAAAACUCAAAUGAAUUGACGGGGGCCCGCACAAGCGGUGGAUUAUGUGGAUUAAUUCGAUGCAACGCGAAAACCUUACCUGGCCUUGACAUGUAACGAACUUUCCAGAGAUGGAUUGGUGCUCGAAAGAGAACGUUAACACAGGUGCUGCAUGGCUGUCGUCAGCUCGUGUCGUGAGAUGUUGGGUUAAGUCCCGCAACGAGCGCAACCCUUGCCAUUAAUUGCCAUCAUUUAGUUGGGCACUUUAAUGGGACUGCCGGUGACAAACCGGAGGAAGGUGGGGAUGACGUCAAGUCCUCAUGGCCCUUAUGGCCAGGGCUUCACACGUAAUACAAUGGUCGGUACAGAGGGUUGCCAACCCGGCAGGGGGAGCCAAUCCCAGAAAGCCGAUCGUAGUCCGGAUUGUAGUCUGCAACUCGAC
rnacentral:rRNA from 1 species